ensembl:snRNA U6 U6 spliceosomal RNA
AUGCUCGCUUUGGCAGCACAUAUACUAAAAUUAGAACAAUACAGAGAUUAGCAUGGCCCCUGCACAAGGAUGACACCCAAAUUUGUGAAGCACUCCAUAGCAAAAAUUUUUU